ACAGUACAAACUGAACAGGCGAUGGGAAUUCCAGAGAGCCGGGCCAUCAUAUGGCAACAGAUAAAUACAACAUCUGUGGGACAGUA
rfam:Anaerosporobacter mobilis DSM 15930 genome assembly, contig: EJ17DRAFT_scaffold00005.5